rnacentral:SRP_RNA from 1 species
GCCAGGCAUGGUGGCAUGUGCCUGUGGUCCCAGCUACUUAGGAGGCUGAGGUCGGACAAUUGCUUGAGCCCAGGUGGUCAAGGCUGCAGUAAGCUGUGAUCAUGCCACUGCACUCCAACCUGGGUGACAGAGCGAGACUCCAUCUCCAAAAAAAAAAAAAAAAAAAAAGUGUGAUUCGGAAUCAACUUCUUCCAAACUCCUGUCAAUGUUGACGACAUUUUGAUCUCCUCCCAUGAAUCACACUUUUUUUUUUUUUUUUUUUGUGGAGAUGGAGUCUCGCUCUGUCACCCAGGUUGGAGUGCAGUGGCAUGAUCACAGCUUACUGCAGCCUUGACCACCUGGGCUCAAGCAAUUGUCCGACCUCAG